rnacentral:lncRNA from 1 species
AUGUUAUUCUACAAUUUAACAUCCAUCCAUUUCACAUUUUUUCCAUAAGAGAUGCUCAUCUUAUUUCCUUUGGCUCUUUGUCCUGUGGUAUAGGACAUGAAGCAUCAUGUCAUAUUUUGGUUAUGACCCUCCUGAUCAAAUAUGAUCUAUUUUGUAGUGACUGUAUCUAAUAUAUGGGUAACCAAAAAUUGAAACCAUGAUAUAUCAAACAGCCACUUAGCUAAAUCAGUUGGCUAUAUAUAGAACCUUUUAUUUGACCACAUGUUUAUAUCCUCUUAUCUUUAUUUCUGGAGUUUGCUGGUUCAUUGUUCUGCUUAAACAUCAUAGAAUAUAUGAGAAACUGGAUCUUUAUAUUAUCAAAAUAAGUUUUUGUGAUCACAUCUUGUGUCUCAGCUACAGCUACUAUAAAAGAUUUGGGUUGGCUUCUAAAGCCAAAAAUAGAGUAGUUUGAGCCAAUACUUAAAAGAAUUUAGUAGUGCUCAAUUGCCUAGGAAAAAAUUAGCAGCGCUUGAUGCGUUAGGUUCUAUUAUAUAAUUUAUUAAAAGGUCAAGCUGAAGCAAAAAUUAUGAAAUGGAUACAAGGGAAAUAAGUUGUUUCUCUUAUCUCUUGUCCAUCUACGUUGUAUAAGUCUUGCUAAAUCUAUGUCCUUCAAAAAUGGGAUCUUGUUUCUGAAAAUUGUCCCAGAAGUAAAAUGGCUUCCUCUUACAAAUGGAAUGCCUUGUCCAAUCAACUUGAGAUCUAAUAUGCAACUGAGCCCCUAGCUUCAUGGCAUCUAUGUAACCAUGUUAGGAUGAAUGGUGCAUCUCAUUAUGUUCUAAGAAGAAUACAAAUUUUGCUACAGAAUUGGACCCGCUAAGUAAAGAUCCUGCAAGUUCAUAAGAGAAGCAGAAUAAUCACAUUAUGUCCUCCCUAGAACAGCAUGAUCUGCAGGAAUCAUUAGAUGGGGUUAAGAUUAGAAAGCAUUCAUCUGUGACGUUUUGCCUAGAAUAUAAUUGGCAUUGCAUCCUUUUCAAUUCAAUGUGUGGUUAAGAUUAGAAGUUUCUCCACACCUCUCCCUCUCUCUCUCUC